CCCACCACCUGCCCUCCCCCCUUCCCCAUCUCCAACGCCGACACUAGCAAGUACGCCACUGGCGCCGUCCGCCCCAUCCCGUUCCCCACUUCUGAUGCAGUUGCUCAGCCGCCCACCAUCACCUCUUCCUCCUUCCCCUGCCAUCUCCACCAAUGUCUACAUCGCAAGUACGCCAUCGGCGGUCCGAUGAUGUCCUUUCCCAGACUCCGCGAUCCUCUCAUGUAUCCUCCUCUGAUGUAGAAGCCUCAAUACCCCUGGCUACACGCUACUCAUCCUCGGCGACAGCAUCACCUAUUCGUCCAGAUCGAGAACGAGCUGCUCCCCAAGGACCUAUCAAUGUCUGCAUUGGAGCGUCACCCACGACCACGAGCUCCACACCUGGGUCCUCUUCCAAUCGAUUUCGUCUUGGAGAUGGUUGGUCGGGUGUGAUGUUGACAUGGAGGUACCAUGCUUUGGCAUAUGGGACUCACACUUCUCAAACUACACAGCAAAGGAGCCACACAAUCUUCAGAUAGAAUGGAGUGUGUGAAGCUUAAGGUGACGAAGGGUUUCCUUAUGAUCGGUGCGGCAUCAAUCUUCUCUGUGUUAUGGAAGACCAAGAAUAAAUCUUGCUUUCUAUUUUUUCGUCAUGGAGAUCCAACAACUGUAGUUUUGUAAGUUUGUCGGUUCUGAAAAUCUUUGGCAAGCUUGCAGAAAGGGGCUCUUCGAGGACUGUUGCGACAUAGAUCUCGUAAGUUGACAAUGGUUGCGAAGGAAGUGUAUGGGCGUUGACAUGGCUGGAACCAAUGUAGUCGUCGUCCUCCUUUUUGUGCUCUCCUGUGUUAACAUAUAUGGAAUUCUAUGUCCGGUUUAUUUUUGCUUUGUAUGAGAGGUGGCUGUAGUUCGUCAAUUACUCGUGGAUGAUGCUUGUGCUCAUGUUACCAAGGAUAUGAUGUAGGGAGUAGUUGUUUAUUCUUUUGUGUUCUGUUUGGAUGGCUUAGACCCGACCCAUACGUUGGUGUGUGUGCAUGUGUGUAAUACAUGAAUUUCUUGGCAAUGAUA